rnacentral:rRNA from 1 species
UAGGGAAUCUUCCACAAUGGGCGCAAGCCUGAUGGAGCAACACCGCGUGAGUGAAGAAGGGUUUCGGCUCGUAAAGCUCUGUUGUUAAAGAAGAACACGUAUGAGAGUAACUGCUCAUACGUUGACGGUAUUUAACCAGAAAGUCACGGCUAACUACGUGCCU